ACAAAAAAGAAGUUGAUGUUGUAUCAGGAACUACUUCCAGAUGUGCAGAUUGUCAAAGAUAAGAAGAGGUUGUCGUUGUCUCGGAGAGGCUUGACAGAAAUCUUCGUUUUGAUUGACGCUUGUUGCUGAUUCGGCAUUCACGAAAAUACUUUUUGUUGAAUCAGAGACCAUGAAUUGCAAAAAUGCCACGCUCAGUAUACCGAUUCUCUUGGUUUUGCCCAAACAGUCUGUAAUAGCUGCACAAUGGUGUGGUGCAUUUUCGGUUUAGUUUUCAGCUAAUUCCUUUGAAGUUGUGCAUUGAGGUUCUUGUGCGUUUGUAUCUCAGACAGUUUUGGUUUACAGCAUAUAUCGGCCUUCUAGUCUUAAUCCAGGGUAUUAUGUCAGCCCAAAAGAGUGCUAUACAGGACUCGGCACUUGAUAUCUCAAUCGAACACUGCGAUCUGUUUGAAGUCGUGCCUUCUGAUUUACAGACUGGGUGAUUUUUCCCCUGAUAAACAUGCUGCAAUUCCAGGUUGGACAGCCUCAGUAUUACAAUGGCGAUGUCGACCUGUGGACAGCUAUUGAGUUACUUUUUUGUGAGAGAUAAGGAAGGCUAUUGAUCUGUUUGUGCUAAGAUAUUGAGAGAUUUUGUCGUCGGAAGUAUACACCCAAAUUUAUGAGUACAACAUGUAUAGGUGGAAUUAUAGAAAUACAUGUAAAGAUAUUGUAGGAUUAGAAAUAUAUGUAUAGAUAUUAUAGGAUGAAAGAAAUUUCGAAUCGAUGUACGUCAAAAUUUGGGAUGUCUCUUCGUGCAUUCUUUUAAGGACUUCUUCCUUCUCUGAAAAGACAUUUUUUGUCUGUGUUGUUUCGCUAUGGAACCUUUUGGCUGAUGGUUCCGAGAUAAUAACAAUAAUUUCAGGGCAUUAGCGUAAUAUCUGGCCUCUUACGUUUGAGCUUUAAGCGUUUACUGCCAUUAAUUGAUUAAGCGAAAAUACACGGAGACUCAAACUGUCAUAAUUGAUGAGUCUUUUAUGCACUGUAAAUAUAUAGCAGUGACUCGGAAGCAGAGAGACUGAAAGCUACCAACACUUUAGAACAAUGCCAUUAUUCAAGGAUGGCUGCCACAGAAUAUCAAGGGGUUGAGUGACGUGAGGGGCAGUUAAUGUUACGUCCUGGCGACUGGGGUCUGGGGUUUGUUCGCUGGUCCGUCAACUUGACCCAGGUGUAGGCGUCAGUGGUCAGUUCACAAUUUACGACCAUCUCUUCUGUUGGUGUAAGAGAUAUCACGUGAGUUUACGACUUCGGAUGACCAGCAAUCUCUGACACCCAAAUGAUGUAUAUGAUGACCUCGGUGUCACGGUCACGCAGACUCUUGUCACCAUAGGAAACAUUUAA